UGGUGCCCUGCAUGGCAGCUAAUCGUUGUUGGUGUGUGUCGAAUGGGUGAAUGAGAAGCAUCAACUGUACAGUGCUUUGAAUAAAGGAGCUGUAUAAAUCCAUACAUUUACCAUUUCAUCGACCUGACUGCAGAAGGAUGAUUUCUGAGGGAAACUCUUUUAAAAGACAGUUGUUGAUCCUUUUGUAGAAUUCUGCAUGUCUUGAAGGCAGUGAUGGUCAGUGUGAUGAGGCACGAUUGACUCCUAAUUGUCCAGUGAGGUCUUUCCCAGAGGCUUCUGAUUGCCUUUGGAGUCUGAUAUGGGCGUUUGUCAAAAAGAUAACCCAAGUCAAGGAAGCCAUUACAAAGCUGUGAAUCCUGUUACCAGCCCAUCCCCAUGACUACCAAUGAAUACCAGCCCUGUGUGAAACUCUGCAUGUUCUACUGAUGGAGGUUGUAUUUAACAGAGCCGCACCGGGGAGAGAGCCGGCGAGGAGAAUCAGCUCCAUGGCCAGCGACACGGGGAAAGACGCGUGGGGAAUGUGAGGAAGAAAUGAUUAACCUUUCUCAUUGGACAGGCGCAGCCGUACGGACUCCAAGAGAGAGAGAGGAGCCUUACAAAAGACGGGGCGCAACCACAGAGCGGGGCUGAGUAAGGAGAAAGAUGGAGACGCAGCCAGUGCUAAACGAAACGAAACGAAACGAAACGAAACGAAACGAAACGAAACGAAACGAAACGAAACGAAACGACACGACACGACCACAAAAACCUGAACAACGACACCACGGUGGAGCCGCGGGGCUUCGGAGGCUCGGGAAAAGGCGGGGGGCGGAAUGGACCACCCACAGUCACCGACGGACCGGUGUACCUAAUUUCUCUCUGCCUCUCUCUCCCUCUCUCUCCCCACGGGGCGCCACAGUAUGUAAAUAGAACUAUUAAUUUAGAAUUGAAGACGUAUGAUAAAUAAAUAAAUGUUUGGCUAAAUGUUUGGUUUUUUUAGCUUUUAGUUUUUUUGAUAGAAACUAUCAAUUCAGGGUUAGUUUAUUCUGCAGAAGGUGAGUUGGUUCAUGCAACAGGAUGUUAAAAGUCUCACAGGACACAAGAAUUCCUCAGACAAAUAAGAAGGAUGUUGCUGCAAAAAAUGUCAGUUAAAACUUAAACAGAUUGUGUUGUAGUACAGUAGUAGGAUGGAGAUCCACAUUCCAAAAGUCACCUUUGUGUGUAUAGAUGCUCUUCUGUAUAUCACUGUUGUAAUGUGUGGUUAUUUGCAUUACUGUCACCUUCCUGUCAGCUUUGACCAGUCCGGCCAUUCUCCUCUGACA